rnacentral:rRNA from 1 species
CCUACGGGUGGCAGCAGUGAGGAAUAUUGGUCAAUGGGCGCGAGCCUGAACCAGCCAAGUCGCGUGAGGGAUGAAGGUUCUAUGGAUCGUAAACCUCUUUUAUAAGGGAAUAAAGUGUGGGACGUGUCCUAUUUUGUAUGUACCUUAUGAAUAAGGAUCGGCUAACUCCGUGCCAGAAGCCGCGUGAAUACGGAGGAUCAGAGCGUUAUCCGAGUUUAUUGGGUUUAAAGGGUGCGGCGGCGGCCUUGUAAGUCAGCGGUGAAAGUCUGUGGGUCAACCAUAGCAUUGCCGUUGAAACUGGGGGGCUUGAGUAUGUUUGAGGCAGGCGGAAUGCGUGGUGUAGCGGUGAAAUGCUUAGAGAUCACGCAGAACCCCGAUUGCGAAGGCAGCCUGCCGAGCCAUGACUGACGCUGAUGCACGAAAGCGUGGGGAUCAAACAGGAUUAGAUACCCCUGUAGUC